AAGUAAUGACUGGAUACUUGCCUCUGCCAAAGUCAUGGACAUUGAAGUUGACGAAGAUUUACUGGAAGAUCUCGGAGAUCAGGGAGAAAGGAAAGAGCGACAAGUAAAGCUGAAGCAAUUGAAAGCGGAACUUACUGGUUUGCUGAAGACACCUCUGAUUCCUGCUGGUUUUAGUGAAAAGCACC